UAAGUUCUUACGGAACCUCCUACCCAAAAG
rnacentral:piRNA from 1 species